GAUGAAGAACGCAGCGAAAUGCGAUAAGUAAUGUGAAUUGCAGAAUUCAGUGAAUCAUCGAAUCUUUGAACGCACAUUGCGCCCUCUGGUAUUCCGGAGGGCAUGCCUGUUCGAGCGUCAUUUCGACCCUCAAGCAUUGCUUGGUGUUGGGGCACCGCCUGUAAAAGUGCGGGCCCUGAAAUCUAGUGGCGAGCUCGCCAGGACCCCGAGCGUAGUAAUUAUAUUUCGUUCUGGAAGGCCCUGGCGGUGCACUGCCGUUAAACCCCCAACUUCUGAAAAUUUGACCUCGGAUCAGGUAGGAAUACCCGCUGAACUUAAGCAUAUCAAUAAGCGGAGGA
rnacentral:misc_RNA from 1 species